GAUGAACGCUGGCGGCGUGCCUAACACAUGCAAGUCGAGCGGCAGCGAGGUGUGCUUGCCCCCUGUCGGCGAGCGGCGGACGGAUGAGUAACGCGUGGGAACGUGCCCCAAAGUGAGGAAAAACUGCGCGAAAGGGUAUAUAAUCACGCGAAGUAUCUUCGGAUCAAAGGAUUUAUCCGGUCUGGGAGCGGGGCGGGUGGGGUGAGGGCGUUGGUGGGGUAAUGUCUCAGGAAGGCGACGAACCGUAGCUGGUCAGAGAGGAUGACCAGCACGACUGGAACUGCGACACGAUCCAGACUCAUGCGGGAGGGAGCAGUGGGGAAUCUUCCAAAACGGGAGAAAGCCUGAUGGGGCAACGCGGUGUGGAGGACGAAGGCCUGUGGGUUGUAAAAUGCUUUUAUAAGUGAGGAAUAUGACGGUAACUUAUGAAUAAGGAUCGGCUAACUACGUG
rnacentral:rRNA from 1 species